rnacentral:rRNA from 1 species
GGCCAGACUCCUACGGGAGGCAGCAGUGGGGGAUAUUGCACAAUGGGGGGAACCCUGAUGCAGCGACGCCGCGUGGGUGAAGGAGUAUUUCGGUAUGUAAAGCCCUAUCGGCAGGGAAGAAGCAAGACGGUACCUGACUAAGAAGCCCCGGCUAACUACGUGCCAGCAGCCGCGGUAAUACGUAGGGGGCGAGCGUUAUCCGGAUUCACUGGGUGUAAAGGGAGCGUAGACGGCCAUGCAAGCCAGGGGUGAAAGCCCGGGGCCCAACCCCGGGACUGCCCUUGGAACUGUGCGGCUAGAGUGCGGGAGGGGCAGGCGGAAUUCCUGGUGUAGCGGUGAAAUGCGUAGAUAUUAGGAGGAACACCAGUGGCGAAGGCGGCUUACUGGACUGUAACUGACGUUGAGGCUCGAAAGCGUGGGGAGCAAACAGGAUUAGAUACCCGAGUA